rnacentral:rRNA from 1 species
GACGUAGGGCGCGAGCGUUGUCCGGAUUUAUUGGGCGUAAAGAGCUCGUAGGCGGCUUGUCGCGUCGACUGUGAAAACCCAUGGCUCAACCAUGCGGUCUGCAUUCGAUACUGGCGUGCUUGAGGACUGGAGAGGAGACUGGAAUUCAUGGUGUAGCAGUGAAAUGCGUAGAGAUCAUGAGGAAGACCAGUGGCGAAGGCGGGUCUCUGGACAGUUCCUGACACUGAGACACGAAGGCCAGGGGAGCAAACGGG